UACGAGGGGGGGCAAAUGUUGUUCGGAUUUACUGGGCGUAAAGGGCGCGUAGGCGGUCGUGACAAGUCACUUGUGAAAUCUCCGGGCUUAACUCGGAACGGUCAAGUGAUACUGUCGGACUAGAGUACAGAAGGGGCAACUGGAAUUCUCGGUGUAGCGGUGAAAUGCGUAGAUAUCGAGAGGAACACCUGCGGCGAAGGCGGGUUGCUGGGCUGAUACUGACGCUGAGGCGCGAAAGCCAGGGGAGCGAACGGG
rnacentral:rRNA from 1 species